GGACCAAUGACUAGAGCUCGAGCUCGUGAACUUAAUUAUCAGGAAUAUGGGAGAGGAACCAAAUCGCAAGCAGCACUAGCAGCGCUGAUUUGAUGAAGUCAAUGCUCUUCACUCCGGAGG